AGGAUUCCCCUAGUAACUGCGAGUGAAGCGGGAAAAGCUCAAAUUUAAAAUCUGGCGGUCUUUGGCCGUCCGAGUUGUAGUCUGGAGAAGUGCUUUCCGCGCUGGACCGUGUAUAAGUCUCUUGGAACAGAGCGUCAUAGAGGGUGAGAAUCCCGUCUUUGACACGGACUACCAGUGCUUUGUGAUGCGCUCUCAAAGAGUCGAGUUGUUUGGGAAUGCAGCUCAAAAUGGGUGGUGAAUUCCAUCUAAAGCUAAAUAUUGGCGAGAGACCGAUAGCGAACAAGUACCGUGAGGGAAAGAUGAAAAGCACUUUGGAAAGAGAGUUAAACAGUACGUGAAAUUGCUGAAAGGGAAACGCUUGAAGUCAGUCGCGUUGUCCGGAACUCAGCCUUGCUUUCGCUUGGUGCACUUUCCGGAUGACGGGUCAGCAUCGAUUUUGACCGUCGGAAAAGGGCUGGAGUAAUGUGGCACCUCCGGGUGUGUUAUAGACUCUGGUCGCAUACGACGGUUGGGAUCGAGGAACGCAGCGCGCCGCAAGGCAGGGGUUCGCCCACUUUCGCGCUUAGGAUGCUGGCAUAAUGGCUUUAAACGACCCGUCUUGAAACACGGACCAAGGAGUCUAACAUACCUGCGAGUGUUUGGGUGGAAAACCCGAGCGCGUAAUGAAAGUGAAAGUUGAGAUCCCUGUCGUGGGGAGNAUCGACGCCCGGACCUGACGUUCUCUGACGGAUCCGCGGUAGAGCAUGUAUGUUGGGACCCGAAAGAUGGUGAACUAUGCCUGAAUAGGGUGAAGCCAGAGGAAACUCUGGUGGAGGCUCGUAGCGAUUCUGACGUGCAAAUCGAUCGUCAAAUUUGGGUAUAGGGGCGAAAGACUAAUCGA
rnacentral:rRNA from 1 species